CCCUCAAUCUCUUCGCGUAAAAACCCUCCAUCAAACGCAAAAUUUCUCCUGUUCCCGUUUCCUCCCUCACGCAAAAUCACUACGGUUUCAGUUCAAACGCCGCUUCUACCGUUUGGGUUCGAACGCCGGCCGUCUCCUCCCGUUCCCGUCUCCUCUCUCGCGCAAAAUCCCUACCGUUUCAGUUCGAACGUCGCUGCUACCAUUUCUGUUCGAACGUCGCGCCUCCUCUCCCUCAACGCUGCUGCUACCCUUUCUAAGUCUUAGUUCAUCUCCCUUCUCUUUCAACCUGAGUUAGCAUCAACGAGAAGGGGUAUUUGUUUGUAUUAGCCCUUGUAAAUUGUAUCAUUUGUUCAUCGGGUCUUCUGAAUUUGUAUUUCGUUCACAAAGUUUUGCACACACCACAUCUUACUAAUCAAUGAGAAAGGCUUUUUCCUUUCAUCGAAAGAAGGGGACUGCGAUAAUUGGGAAAUUGGGCAAAUAAAUAUUGUAAAAAGAAUUCAUUGGUUUAUUUGUUGGUUAUCGUUAUUCAACCAUCAUGCUAACCAAGAUUACAACGCAACUAAAAUGUGGUAUUUUUCUAGAUUCUGAAUUUUAAUAGGGAGGAUUCAAUAUCCUCGUGAAGCUCUCUCUCAUGAGGGAACUUGGGGAGAAGGUUGGCAAUUUUUUUAUCAGAUUCUAAAUAUGAUUUAUGUUUGUAUACUAUGGCUGCUAACUUAGCUUCUGCAUUGGUACAAUGGUUUUUGAAUGCAAAGAUGUGAUUGGCACUGUAAUUCUCCUUCCCAAGUAGGUCCUUGAGUUCCUUUUCCUUCAAUGUCCAGCUACCAGUUCUCAAAUUGAAGGCUUACAAAGAAAGGAAUCUUCGUCCAUAAUCAGCUAUGAAUUCUAAAGCUUGUAAAAUGAAUUCGAACUCCUCAUUUGGCAUGUAGUAUGGGAAGCUUACUCUUGUCCAUCCAGGUUUUAUUCCCUUAUAGGCCUAUUAGAUUGUUAAAGAUAAAGUUCAAAGAUUAUGGAACGAAUCUCACUAUUUCAUGGUAUACAAAAUUGAAAAAUCAGACUAAUUAAUACCUUAGCAAUGGCAGUUCUGUAGGCUUGCGAGCAUGCUUCAUCAAUGUUGAGUAGCUUGUGACCAUAAGGUUUAGGGUUUUGAAGAGUUAGGAUUGGAUGGUGAUCCUAACUCUCAUGACUAGGAUUGUUUGGUAGUCAAUCGAGAAAGUAAAAGAGUUGGCAAUCAGUAUAGAGGGGAAGAGCUCGGAGGAAAAGAAAAGCUUGUUGGCUAAAUGUGCUGCAACAACACUUUCAUCUAAGCUCAUUGGCGGAGAGAAGGAUUUCUUUGCAUCAAUGGUUGUUGAUUACUCGCGUUUUCAUGGGACGAACACCGGAAGUCCUCGAGCUCGACCCAUUUCCUUCGCUGUAAGUGCAUUUACACUGGUUUUUGACACCGGACGAGCGUUCGCCACUCGUUGAAAACAGUGGCCAUCUUUUGGACCGUUGUGGGUCGCACCACAGUUCUCCCUCCAAUGAGGCUAAAUAUAAUUGACAUAAAGAAGGUUCCUGGAGGGACCAUGCGUGACUCCUUGGUAAAUGGUGUUGCCUUCAAGAAGACAUUUUCUCAUGCAGGUUUCGAACAACAACCUAAGAAGUUUUCAAAUCCAAAAAUUCUCUUGCUAAAUAUUGAAUUGGAAUUGAAAUCGGAGAAAGAAAAUGCAGAGAUACGGUAGGAUUCAGUUUACAGAACUCACCCCCCUUCUAUUACAACUGCACUAAACUUCCAGAAAUUUCUUUUGUAGGCUCUCUGAUCCGUCACAGUAUCAGUCCAUUGUUGAUGCAUAAUGGAAUAUUAUUUACGAAAAAUUAGACAAAUGUGUAGAGAGUGGAGCCAAGGUGGUUCUUUCACGUUUGGCUAUUAACGAUCUUGGCACAUAGGUUAUUUUGCAAAUGUGUAGAGAGUGGAGCCAAGGUGGUUCUUUCACGUUUGGCUAUUAACGAUCUUGGCACAUAGGUUAUUUUGGUCUGUUCUCACAAUGAUUGCAUCUUCAGUAUUUUUGGAAGUCGAUAGGAUUCUGACAAUGUAUAUUGAGAAGGAAGCAAUUUAUAUUGAAAUAUUAACAAAUAUGAUCACCACUCAAUGAGUAAAGUUGCCUCUAAAUCCAUAUAAACAGUCUGCUUACAGUAUUUUGCAGAUCGAGAUAUUUUAUUUGCUGGCCGUGUGGCUGAGGAAAAUCUACAAAGGGUUGCUGCUGCAACUGGUGGAACUAUGCAAACAUUUGUUAACAACGUUAUUCAUGAAUUAGAUUUUUUUUUCUGUUAAGUAAUUUUAUAUAACUGUUUAGGAACUUAUGUGCUUGGUUUUCCUUUGUCUUUCAUGAUGACCUUGUGACAUUAUUUACUUUGUUGGCUUAAAGGUUCUCGGGACAUGUGAGGCUUUUGAGGAAAAGCCAGUUGGUAAUGAAAGAUAUAAUAUAUUUAGUGGGUGUCCAUUAGGUAGAAUAGCCACCAUUAUAAUACUAUGGGAGGAAGCUUUGAGAAAAAGAGAAUGAAAAAUGAAUGGUAAGAUUUUAAACUCUGAUGAUGUAUAGCAUUGAAAUAAAUGAGUGAAACAUUUAUUUGACUGCUUUGUAUUAAAAAGAGCUUAAAAUUAGAAUCUUGCAACCGUGUCCUUUCUUUUUUCCUUCUUUAACAUCCUUUAUUGAGGAGGCGGUCCAGCAUGGUUAUGGAAAAGCAGGAUCGAUAUCACCGACAAAGAAAUCAAGGACGUCAGGUCGGACCUAUUAACGAGAAAAAGGACUUAAGGCAGGGAAUAUAACUGUACCAAGCUAAACUUGAUAGACAUCAAAUCUGGAAGAUAUUUUUAUCCUCAAUCUGAAGUGCUUUUGUUAGUAUUAUCUCAAAGUCUUAUGCUGAUAUUUGGGAUGAAAAAGCUUACAGGUUUUGAAUUUUAGACCAACUUGGAGAUUCCUUUUAGAUAGUAUAAUCUUUGGCCACCUUUUGUCAAAAAGUCUUCACUAGUACAUAGUAUGAUUGAUAUUGUUUCCUUCUCCUUUUACAAUAUCAUAGUAACUUGACAACGACCACCAUUUUUCAUGUUGGUUCCAAUACUCCUCAGCACACAUUGUUUCCUUCUGCAGUUGAUCUCUUGCUUCAUCUCUUUCGUCAUGUGCUGCCUGCAGUAGAAUAAGUUUUGCAAUAAUCCAUUGGAGCAGUGAAGCCAUAUUUGUGACAAUUCAUUGAUUUAAAGGCCUUUUUGUAGGUUUGGUAGCAAAAGUUUGGUUCAAAUGCACUUAUUUAAAUAGUUUGUUCGUACCAAAACAUACAUAUUCAUUCUUUAUUGUACAAACACUUUACGAACAAUUGUACAUAUAUUAUAUAGUAUAUAUUAAAGCGUUCAUCAUUUCUUUCCAUA